UAGAGGGUUUCCGCCCUUUAGUGCUGAAGUUAACGCAUUAAGCACUCCGCCUGGGGAGUACGGUCGCAAGACUGAAACUCAAAGGAAUUGACGGGGGCCCGCACAAGUGGUGGAGCAUGUGGUUUAAUUCGAAGCAACGCGAAGAACCUUACCAGGUCUUGACAUCCUCUGACAACCCUAGAGAUAGGGCUUUCCCUUCGGGGACAGAGUGACAGGUGGUGCAUGGUUGUCGUCAGCUCGUGUCGUGAGAUGUUGGGUUAAGUCCCGCAACGAGCGCAACCCUUGAUCUUAGUUGCCAGCAUUCAGUUGGGCACUCUAAGGUGACUGCCGGUGACAAACCGGAGGAAGGUGGGGAUGACGUCAAAUCAUCAUGCCCCUUAUGACCUGGGCUACACACGUGCUACAAUGGAUAGUACAAAGGGUUGCAAGACCGCGAGGUGGAGCUAAUCCCAUAAAACUAUUCUCAGUUCGGAUUGUAGGCUGCAACUCGCCUACAUGAAGCCGGAAUCACUAGUAAUCGCGGAUCAGCAUGCCGCGGUGAAUACGUUCCCGGGCCUUGUACACACCGCCCGUCACACCACGAGAGUUUGUAACACCCGAAGUCGGUGGGGUAACCUUUUAGGGGCCAGCCGCCUAAGGUGGGACAGAUGAUUGGGGUGAAGCG
rnacentral:rRNA from 2 species